GAGUCGCUUCCGACUUCGUUACCGUCAACAUUAAACACAACAGCAAGAUACUUGGAAAGGACUUUCUCGUUCGAACAAACAUAAUGGAAGCGUAUUCUACACGCACAUAUUCACUCGGGCCAACCGUGUGACUCAUUUGGAAAAAGGACUCAUCGUCGGUUUCAUGGCAGCGAAGUGAGCAGACAAAAAAGGCAUUGUUUUUUUCCACAUGAUCGUUCUGAGCAAAAUUCAGCGAUUUGCCAGGCAUAAACCACUGAUAAGACAGUAUCCGUUCGGAUUCAGGACGUUUUCCCAUACAUUGUACCCGGUCGAAGCGAUGGCAAGCGAUGCAGAUAACUGGGUCAAAAAGGCGGAGGUUCUGGGAAUUUCUGCACUCGUUAGCGAUCUGAGUAUGACCAAGGAAAAGGAAUCAGAACCGGCGACUGACAGUCCAGAGAAAGAGAAUGCGGAAAAACCUUCUAGUCCAUAGCUCCUGAAGAAAAACGAGCUGA